UCACUUGCUUGGACGGGGUCUAUGAGUGAUCAUGUAGGCUCAUAGCCUAGGCUAUUGACCUUCAUUGCAUAUUGCAGAAGGGCAGUUGCCUAAGAUCUCCCAAAGAAGGAGAGUCUACGUCAUGAUUUGUGGUUAUGGGGGCUUGCGUUCGCGCGACCUCAAU